UACGUAGGGACCGAGCGUUGUCCGGAAUUAUUGGGCGUAAAGAGCUCGUAGGCGGUUUGUCGCGUCGGUUGUGAAAACCCAAGGCUCAACCUUGGGCCUGCAAUCGAUACGGGCAGACUAGAGUACUGCAGGGGAGACUGGAAUUCCUGGUGUAGCGGUGGAAUGCGCAGAUAUCAGGAGGAACACCGGUGGCGAAGGCGGGUCUCUGGGCCGUAACUGACGCUGAGGAGCGAAAGCGUGGGGAGCGAACAGG
rnacentral:rRNA from 1 species